AUCGCGCCUGGUCGGAACAUAACGACGGCGGGCCGGUGGGGAAUCAGGGGGCUACCGUGGGAUAGCGAUGAGACAGCCCCUCCGAUGGCACCAAGCGUCGGAUCGCGGAAAGGCUUGGAAGG
rnacentral:sRNA from 12 species